rnacentral:antisense_RNA from 1 species
AAGUUGUCAUCCUCUGCCGCCAGCAGCGCAUGGAUGAAAUCCUUCGGGAUCUCGUCGAAGCGAAUCGGCGACCGGCGCAUUUCUCCGAAUUCCGCAAUCAGCUUUUCAUCAUUGCUGUAGACCCUCAACGGUAUCUGGAGCUGGAUGCUGCGAAGUGCGUCGACGGAAGGCAGGUUGGGGCUCAGAUAAAGGAAGGCGCCGCUCAAACUGAGCAGCAGUCCGCAGAAAAUAGCUAAGCCAGACCAAAGGAAAAACUUCAGGAAACGCAUCAAGGUUCUUGGGGUUCCAGG